rnacentral:lncRNA from 1 species
GUUAUUCAGCACAAUGCGUUCCACCACUAGUGACUGCAGUGUUCCCCGAGGAAGGUCAGUGACGCUGGUGAUUGUUAUAUCAGACCAACCACACGUAUCCGCUGGGGACAAAGCUAAAGAAUCUUCAGCACUACACGAAUGGCUCUCUCUUCUGAAAAGUUUUACUACAAAUUAAAAAAAAAUGUGAUAAAGAUCUACUAUAAGCACCUUUCCUGUACUGAUGAGAAAUCGAUGGGACUGCAGACAUUUAACUGGCGCUGAUGAACCCAGUCCACUCUCCUGGAGAUGGUCCAGCAUUAAACCCAGGUUUAGUAUAAUAGGAAAAUUUAGUAAUAGAAUUAAUAGGUACUGGUAGGCAAUGCUCAUCAAAGAAUAACUUCUGACUUUUUACGAACCGUGGUGUGUGGAACAGAAAGCCAGCCCACCUGGAAGAGCUCAUAGGUGUUAGGUCUGUCUCAUAGUUCUUACACUGAAGGGACACAUUUCCCUUUUAAAAUUGUUAAGCAGAAAGUGUAUGUGUUAAAUAUGUGCUGGAAGCAUCUCACUGUGGGGUAUGUCUCAAUGGUGUCCUUCACUAGGUCAUCAAUGUGACCUGUCUGGACAUUCUCUGAAGUAAUUGAGUGACUCGAAAGCUUACUUUCAUCUGAGUCAUAUAAACAUUGCAGACCUUAGAGUCAGCUCAUCUUUAUUUAAAACAAAUAUUAGUGUUUCUGUGAUAUACUCCCAAAUGUCUUUCAAAUAUAAAUGUUGUGUUGUAUCUUUCAAUGGUUCUAAACGGCACUCAAUGACUCACACCUUCUACUGAUACAUUGGUUUCUAUAUAAUAUCAAUGUCAAUAAAGGAGACAGGAGGAAUUAAAAUAACAA